rnacentral:rRNA from 1 species
CCUACGGGAGGCAGCAGUGGGGAAUUUUGGACAAUGGGCGCAAGCCUGAUCCAGCAAUGCCGCGUGCAGGAUGAAGGCCUUCGGGUUGUAAACUGCUUUUGUACGGAACGAAACGGUCCUUUCUAAUACAAGGGGCUAAUGACGGUACCGUAAGAAUAAGCACCGGCUAACUACGUGCCAGCAGCCGCGGUAAUACGUAGGGUGCGAGCGUUAAUCGGAAUUACUGGGCGUAAAGCGUGCGCAGGCGGUUAUAUAAGACAGAUGUGAAAUCCCCGGGCUCAACCUGGGACCUGCAUUUGUGACUGUAUAGCUAGAGUACGGUAGAGGGGGAUGGAAUUCCGCGUGUAGCAGUGAAAUGCGUAGAUAUGCGGAGGAACACCGAUGGCGAAGGCAAUCCCCUGGACCUGUACUGACGCUCAUGCACGAAAGCGUGGGGAGCAAACAGGAUUAGAUACCCUGGUAGUCCACGCCCUAAACGAUGUCAACUGGUUGUUGGGUCUUCACUGACUCAGUAACGAAGCUAACGCGUGAAGUUGACCGCCUGGGGAGGUACGGCCGCGAGUAGAACGUACAANAGAGUUGAGGCGUGAGACGUGCGACGGACGACGACGAGGGAGGAGG